UUCUAACUUGUUUAACCUAUUUAUUAUAAGGAUCGGAUCAGAUUGAUACCCAUUUAAUUGCUUACUAUUUAAACCUAAAAGAUCAAAACCUGCUUACUGCCACUGUUUGUUUAAACUUAGCCCAUCCUGAAUCCAAUGCACAUUGGCAUCACCCUUUCCCCUCGGUCCCGCAUUGUGUCCACAAACCACCCCACCUAUCCUAGUCUACCAACUCUCUAGAUUAAAUGGUUAAAUGAGUGCUUGUGGCUAGCCGAAACCUACUCUUAAAGUCUCUGACGACUUUCUGGUGGAGGAGACAACCAUGCUUGUCGUCCCCAUUUAUGUCCUCCUCGCACUCAUCGCCACCCUCCGCAUUGCCUACAUCAUGCUCGCCCUCCACUUUUUGCAUUAGUAAGUGGCAGCACGAGUGAAGCACACAUUCAAUUUUAUUUCUUCUUCCACCAAAGGCAUUGUCACCAAUCAUGAGCCGAAGGGCGGUGCUAGGGAGGUAGAGGAGGAGAAGAAGCGGUUGGUGGAGAUCAAUAAGGGAA
rnacentral:lncRNA from 1 species